rnacentral:rRNA from 1 species
UUGAACGCUGGCGGCAUGCUUUACACAUGCAAGUCGAACGGCAGCGCGGGCUUCUGCCUGGCGGCGAGUGGCGAACGGGUGAGUAAUGCAUCGGAACGUGCCCAGUAGUGGGGGAUAGCCCGGCGAAAGCCGGAUUAAUACCGCAUACGACCUGAGGGUGCAAGCGGGGGACCGUAAGGCCUCGCGCUAUUGGAGCGGCCGAUGUCGGAUUAGCUAGUUGGUGGGGUAAAGGCUUACCAAGGCGACGAUCCGUAGCUGGUCUGAGAGGACGACCAGCCACACGGGAACUGAGACACGGCCCAGACUCCUGAGGGAGGCAGCAGUGGGGAAUUUUGGACAAUGGGGGCAACCAUGAUACAGCCAUGCCGCGUGCGGGAAGAAGGCCUUCGGGUUGUAAACAGCGUUUGUGCGGGAAGAAAUCCUCUGAGCUAAUAACCCGGGGGGAUGACGGUACCGGAAGAAUAAGCACCGGCUAACUACGUG